UACACCCCUGACUGCAGAGGCAGCCAGCAGGUGUUGAAUUCCGUGUCAGGUAGAUUCACCACGCAGUAGCAAAGCCCAAGUGAAACCAGAAACAAUCAACAGAAACAUUAAGAAGUGAAAAAGGUUUUAAGGAGAAACAAUGUGUGAUGCCUGUUUGCCGAAGGUCAUUGGAGCGGGGUCCACAGGUUGACAGUAUCAAAGGGCACAGCGAGGCGUGAGAGCGCAGUGGGAACAGGCAGAAAUAGCGUUAGCUUCAGAAAGGGAAACAUGAAACACUUUGUACAAGGAACAAGCGGACUGGUGAAAAGGUGUAGCUUUCUUUAGCGCUAUCAGAGAGGGCACAGAAUGCGCAGUGCUUGAUCAGCAAUAGCAUCACCUUGUAAAAAGCUGGGCAGGGGUUGAUGACUACAGAUACGCAAAAGAAAAGCGGAGCAUGAGGAGCAGAAAGAGGAGCCUGCAGAUGCAAAGCAGGAGGCGUCAAGUGUGCAUCUAUCGCUGUGAAAGGAAUAACAGCAGAAGGGAAGUGAAGGGCCACGUCAUGCACACAGAAAGAGGAAGCAAGGUCAGGGCUGCAGGAAGCAGCUCGCACAGCAGGGACAGCAGCGGACAGCUCAGGACACCCAGCAGAGGUCUGUGGUAGAGGAUGCAGGUGUCUCCCCAAGUAUUACCAACGAAGUGCGUCACAACGCCACGAUGGGGAUCCAUCGGUGAGGACGGCGAGGGCGCCUUUAAAGGGGUGCGAAGCAAGAGUUUGAAGAGAAAAAGGAAGUAGGGGAAACAGAGGCAGACGGGAUCAUGGGACGUGUGCAAAGAAAUGCAAGCAACAUAGUCAGCAGGGCGACUUGCAGAGACACAGCAGAGCACAGUGGAAGGGAGACUCAGCCUCGGUCCUGCGGUGGACUCGGCCGUCUCCUGUCAGCUGCUUCUCACCGUGCGGUGCUGUCCUGAUGGGGUGCUGCCCUGGUGGGGUGCUGCCCUGGUGGGGUGCUGCCCUGGUGGGGUGCUGACCUGGUGGGGUGCUGACCUGGUGGGGUGCUGCCCUGGUGGGGUGCUGCCCUGGUGGGGUGCUGUCCUGGUGGGGUGCUGCCCUGGUGGGGUGCUGUCCUGGUGGGGUGGAGGUGGAGCUGGAGGGAGGGAGGGAAAGAAGAGAGCAGGGAGGAAGACAGGGACAUUUUUACCCCCUUUGGGUCCCCGUCAGCUUUUUCUCGUCUCCUGUUUUGAAAUAUCUCCCAGUGAUUUCCUGCCGCCUGUGUGAGACCUAAC
rnacentral:lncRNA from 1 species